GCUAAAACUAGUUUAUUGCGCUUCGAUGUCACGCGUUAUUUAACCUGGGGUGAAGUGACGUGUUUGCAAGCGGACAUGUAAGCCCGAAAGUUGGGUAUCGGUCGUGAGCCAUUCGGAACACGUCUGCAUCGAAACGGGAGCUGGAUUCUGGUGCGGCUGACAACGGCAAUAACGACAUGCAGUAAUGAGGAUGGCACCAGUAUAAAGCAACACACUCCACACACUAAACAGAAGCUGCUGCCUGCUACAACAAGGCCAUUGUGUGGACAUUGGCUGCUACUACAAGAGUCCAUCCCAAGCAUACCUUGGUCAUCACAGGAGCUCCUAUCCACACCAACAGAAAGGGGCUGGAGCUGAAUUUGCAAGGCUUUUACACCACGAACAAAGAAGCGCAUGCAGAAGAAUUUACAUGAGAUAUCAAGUCUGCAGAGCACUGUGUCAAGACUGAAAAGAGCUUCAGCCACCAUUCCACCAGCGCGGACAAAUUGGCUGAGUCAUCCAGGUAACUCAAAAAGGACUUUAUGGAAAUUCUUCGUCUUCAGAUGCGCCUGCAACUUCUGAUCAAGCACGGACGACGCUGGCCAAAAGAGUUCCAUCAGUUUGCCCUUAAUCAGCUUCCUGGCCAUGUCAAUUCCAUUUGUGCUAAGUGUAAUUUUUCUUCUAAAAAUGCAAGCUUUUUCAUUGCCCAUUCUCGUUAGAGAUCAUUCAUCCUCAUCCAAACAUAAAGGUCAACCGAUUCUUCACUGAUACUUAAUACCAGUCACUGUCUAGUAGCAUAACAUAUCUGUAGCAGUACCUUUUAGUGCAUGUUGUCAUGCACGAUUCCUCUCCUGAAAUAGCUGAUGCAACAUCGACAUGUUUCUUGCAUUAACCUACGCACUGUUUGCUAUGCACCAUUUUACUUUUCUUGAUGUUUUUGGCUU